GAUGAACGCUAGCUACAGGCUUAACACAUGCAAGUCGGGGGGCAGCAUCAUCAAAGCUUGCUUUGAUGGAUGGCGACCGGCGCACGGGUGAGUAACACGUAUCCAACCUGCCGACAACACUGGGAUAGCCUUUCGAAAGAAAGAUUAAUACCGGAUGGCAUAAUUAUUCCGCAUGGGAUAAUUAUUAAAGAAUUUCGGUUGUCGAUGGGGAUGCGUUCCAUUAGGCAGUUGGCGGGGUAACGGCCCACCAAACCUACGAUGGAUAGGGGUUCUGAGAGGAAGGUCCCCCACAUUGGAACUGAGACACGGUCCAAACUCCUACGGGAGGCAGCAGUGAGGAAUAUUGGUCAAUGGACGAGAGUCUGAACCAGCCAAGUAGCGUGAAGGAUGACUGCCCUAUGGGUUGUAAACUUCUUUUAUACGGGAAUAAAGUGAGCCACGUGUGGCUUUUUGUAUGUACCGUAUGAAUAAGGAUCGGCUAACUCCGUGCCAGCAGCCGCGGUAAUACGGAGGAUCCGAGCGUUAUCCGGAUUUAUUGGGUUUAAAGGGAGCGUAGGCGGGUUGUUAAGUCAGUUGUGAAAGUUUGCGGCUCAACCGUAAAAUUGCAGUUGAUACUGGCGACCUUGAGUGCAACAGAGGUAGGCGGAAUUCGUGGUGUAGCGGUGAAAUGCUUAGAUAUCACGAAGAACUCCGAUUGCGAAGGCAGCUUACUGGAUUGUAACUGACGCUGAUGCU
rnacentral:rRNA from 1 species